GAGAUUUAAGUAUAAUUUUUGUAUUUUAUUUUUUCAUAAUAAAGGGGAUAAAAUCUUU
rnacentral:tRNA from 1 species